GCGGGAUUAGCCCAGCACCGAAUCCCCCGGUCGAAAGGCCGGCGGGAACUGUGGUGUGCGGGACGCCACCAGCCGCGCGAGCGGGCACCGAAGUCCUCCUGAUCGAGGCCUCUCCCAUGGUGGGUGUAAGGCCUUUGCAGGUGUCGGCGCGCGCGGCCGCGAGCGUCCCAGGAGUCGGGUUGUUUGGGAAUGCAGCCCAAAGCGGGUGGUAAACUCCAU
rnacentral:rRNA from 1 species